GUUGCAUAACUGUGGAAAGAAUACAGGAGUAAACUUCAUCACCGACCAUACAGAUGCCAUUCUGACUCUCUCGCUAGCGUGUGUCUCGUGUUGUUACAUCUGUUUGGUGCUGUGUUGUUGCCGGUGCGCCCGUACAAACCGACGCACUUAAUUGUUCGCAAAGGUGGUGUUGCAUAUUCGCGUGCAAAACAUAAACAAACUGUGAAGCUGAACGAUUACAGCGAAACCUCGAACGUGUGGUGGCCUGCAGGAAACGUGGUUGCCCUUAUGCUCAAGAAUCCGCUUAUGUGUUUUACAGUUGCACAGUUGCUGCUGGGCCAGAUAGAGAACAUGCCGAAGAUGAACUGAAAACAACAGUGACAACAGUGUGCGUGGCGUUGCUAAAGUAAAACCGCUCGAGAACCGCUUCUUCCUUUGUAGAGACGCCGAUCCGACGUCGCACAUCAACCUUUUCGGACAGACCCGGUAGCUAACGUCGUUUGAAUUGGAGUUCCACAGUGAUUACAUUUCACUGUCGUAUGCAGUUUUGUCUCCAUUCGGAACCCAAGACCCCCCAGUCGGUGGAAGCAAUUCGUAUAGGACGCAUCCAAAAUGGUGCAGCUCGAGAUUAACAAGAAACUGCUGCCGAUGAAGGCACACUACUUCCUCUUCAAUGCAGGAACGGCUCCGGUAGUGCCUUUUAUGCCGACACUCGUACGGCAGCUUGGCUUCUCGACGGUGAUCGUCGGAACGAUCUACACGGUCCUGCCGAUCGUGGGCAUGCUGGUGAAGCCACUGUUCGGCAUCAUUGCCGAUCGGUUUCAGCGCCAGAAGCUGCUUUUUUUGAUCUUUCAGAUUCUUACAGCCGUUCCGUUCUUUCUGAUCAUGUUCAUACCGGCCAUCCCUCAGGACUCGACUGUCACAUUCCAUUGCCACAACGGGGCAGCAGAUCUGAAAUACUGUCCAGAAAAUGGCACCACCAUCGACUCGUGCCUGGUGGAAAGUAUCACCACCAAUGAGAACAACGGUUCGCUACUCUGCGACAUGGAAUGUCGCACGGAACCGUGGAUGUGGGACACAGUGUGCAAGUACUGGAAUGUGUCAAAGUACUGCGACGAGAAGAACAUCCCCACCGACCGUAUCCUAAGACUGACGGGUGUUGUACCCAACAACCACAUUAAUCUGGUCGACGAGUGUCUUUUCUUUAUGUUGCGCGAAGGUAAAAUGGAUGACAAUCGGGUGCCGCUCUACUGCCCGUCCAACAUGACCGAUUUCCGGACCAGCUGCCAGGUGCAGUGCAACAAUGAGCAGGUGAUGGGCGCCAUCUCGCAUUCGAAAAUUGCGGACAGCGAAGUGACGGGACUGUACCAGUUCUGGUUGCUGUUCCUGUUUCUGAUCUUCAGCUGGGCCGGUAUGGCUGUCGUCGUGAGCGUGGGCGAUGCGAUCUGCUUCGAGAUGCUUGGAGAUAAGCCCCAUCUGUACGGCAACCAGCGACUGUGGGGUUCGAUUGGCUGGGGUACUGUUUCACUGUUUGCCGGCUUUCUGGUCGACACACUGUCGGAGGGUAAACUUACGAAGGAUUAUACGAUCGUGUUUUACAUGACCGUCGUACUGAUCGGGUUCGACAUGCUAUGCUCAUCAAAACUGCAGCACACUCAAACACGUCUUUCAACUAACAUUCUGAAGGACGUUGGCAAAAUAUUUGUCAAUUUCCGCAUUGUGGUAUUCUUUUGCUGGUGUGUGCUGAUCGGUUUUGGAACGGCACUAAUCUGGAACUUCCUGUUCUGGCACUUGGAAGAUCUUGCAAGCGCACAAGAAGGAUGUGGCCAUUCGACGUGGAUUAAAACCUUGGAAGGUAUCAUCAUGUCGAUUCAAACGUUCGGCGGUGAGCUGCCGUUCUUUUUCCUGUCCGGUUGGAUUCUGAAAAAGAUUGGCCACAUCCAUGCAAUGAGCUUGGUGCUGUUAGGAUUCGGCGUGCGUUUCUUGCUGUACUCUCUCCUUACCGAUCCCUGGUGGGUGAUACCGAUCGAGUUUAUGAACGGUAUCACCUUCGGACUGUUCUAUGCAACGAUGGCAUCCUAUGCCAGCAUCGUGGCACCACCCGGCACAGAGGCCACAAUGCAGGGACUCGUGGGUGCUGUUUUCGAAGGUGUCGGUGUAUCAUUAGGCAGCUUGCUGGCCGGCAACCUAUUCGAACGCAUCGGUGGUAGCUCCACGUUCCGUGCGUUCGGCAUAGCGGCACUGGUACUGUUCGUGCUGCACGUUGCCGUACAGAAGCUAACCGAUCGUUUCGGCAGCCAGGGUAAGCAACAACAAAAAGUGGAUAGCUUAACGGGCGUUAAGCUGAAGGAAAAUGGGACGCAUGGGUCGGGGUUAGGCGGGGACGAUAUCUCGAAUGGACAGCUGGCCAAAACCAAUUCCAUCCUGUCGGAAUCGACCGUUCAGGAGGAGCUGCACGAUGGCGAGGAAAAAACUAAUGGUGGUAGCCACGUAGAUACAAAGACUGCCUCGAAUGGAAACGUUGCACAUCACGUGCCCGAGACGUGUUCGGAAAAGACGUCAAAUGGCAAACCGACUGCAGCUCCCGACGGGCAACUGUACGAAGUGCCAUUGAACUAAUGUAUUUGGUGUUAGCUUUCUGGAAGCUCUACUUGAAAAUAGUAUAAAUUCGGGAUAGAUGCGAGAAUUCUUCGUCAGUAUGGAAUUAUUGCCAUAUUGGGUAGCUAUCCCACACACUGUUAAAACCUCAAAGUAACAAAAGACUAAGCGAACAAAUCCUUACAAAGUAAGACCACAAAACUGGCACAGACUAUUUGCGUUGCGUUGACGAUAAUGUACCAUUUUCAUAAAUUUGCAUUUUUGAUUUUUUUUUUUCGUUUUUGACUCGCAGCGUUCCUUUACUGCAAUGAGUUAUUAGAUUAGUGUAUACAAAUAAAAACAUGCAUAUGUAUUCUUCGUUUACUCUAUACCCUUCGAGUGAGUAGUUCAUUUAAGGCCUGGCCACAUGGCUUAAUUGUUAACGAAAGUGUGCCGACAUACCCUAUGUCUAUGACAUACACAUCAUAAAGAUGCAGAGAAAACAAUAACACUGUUGUUAUCCAAAAAACUCGGAAAAAAUGGCGUGUGACGUACAUACUACCAUAAAAAGUUCAUUCAGCCUCUUUCCUGCGCUUUUUACUACAAUCGAUGCACAGUUUGUGCUUCAUUUCAAUUCCACACUGCAAAGAAACUCGUCCCGGAUACGCACCACCGAAGGAGGCAUUGGAAAAUUUGGA